rnacentral:lncRNA from 1 species
AUCCAUUUCAUUUAGCAAAUAGUGUUGGUCCCAGGAAAAAGCACCAAGCCUGGGAAUCCCUGCCACAAUGACAGAAUCACAUUCAACAGCUGCUUCCAGCAUAGGAUGCAAUCCCCGCCGCCAGCAUCCCUCCCACCUCCAGAAAUAGUAAACAUCUGCCAAGAGAGAGCCCCAUUAGUAAAAUUCCCACCUUCUAAGGGUCAUCGAUUGGCUUUCUUCUGAGCUUCCUGCCUGCUUCCCUCAUCUCUGCAGCCUGUUAGAGCCUGCCACGACCGCGUGGGCAACCCCUAGCUGCAGUUUCUUUCCUCUUCUCUGCCCUCAGCACUUUCCCCUCCAGGAGCACAACUCUGAGCUGUCAUUCCUGUCAACCAGAUGGGAGAUCAGCCACAAAGCUGCUCCGCCUCUCGCAAGGACAGGAACUCUUGUGGCAGGCAGGCUUUCGGGGCGGCUCCAAGAGGGAGUGAGUGAGUCUGGGCCUCUUAGUCGCUGUGGUCAUGCUUCACUGCAGCCAGCGUGGAGCAGGAUGCUGACAGCAGAGUGGCUCCAGUGAGCUGCCAUUCCAGAUGUCAGGAACAAGCUCACAGACUGAGUGAAGCCGAGAAGGAUUGCAAACACCAGUGAGAAAGGGCUGGGAGACAACAGUGACGGAGAAGAGGAGCAGGCUUUCAGGCGAUAAGGUGGCUGUGAACUGAAGUCUUCAAUCAACACAACUGAGCUGAGACUCCUCUAGAAGAGAGCUAUCAGGGUCCUGACAGACAGCUGGUGAGGUGCAGAAUGACAUGAGUGAGGGGCUUGGCGCUGACGUGAAGGUUGAGGAGGCAGUCACCGGAACCCCACGCAGGCUAGAGCUGUGACCGACAGAAACGACGAUGUGUGUUCCUAGAGGCUUAGGCAGUGCCAGAGAAAUCACUCAGUGCCAGCUGGCUCCUGCAUGAAUGCUUCUCUAGACAAGCUGACCUUUGCUACUUAGUAGGGUGUACGUUGCCUCUAAGCCCAUUUCCAAUUUACUGACACCUGGUGGAUUUUUAUUCACCACUGAGCUCUGGCCCGAAGAGAGCUGCCAAACGUCCUAGGCCAUCCAUUCACUCAGCACUUAUAAUCGUGAUAGUCACCACCCAUGAAAGCUUUAGGACCUGUUUCAGUGUUUCUGCAUCGUGUCGCCUGAGGGCUUUCUUCUGUGACCAGAAACUGCUCUGCCCCCAAGCAGCACUGGCCUGGAACUGGAGAAUUAAAGACCUCCCUAAUCCCACACGCAAACUUUGAUGUGAUUGGCAUAUAAGUAUCUUAGCACCCUAGUAUCAUGAGUUACAUGGCGCUGAGGCACAUAUUCCACGCUGGGCCCAGCACUUCCCAGAGGGACUGAGUCCCAGGGUGGCAUCUCACUUGGUGAUGUGCCUUGUACUGGUUACCUUCCCUUCCCAUGUCAGCUCACUCUUCUACUGGCGUGUGCUGGAAUCACCUCCCAAACCAACUAUUUAAAUCUUUGCUUCUGGAGAGACCCCAACUAAAAUAAUAUGUAUUUGCUCUAAGUAGUUUGAUACAGAGCAGAUAAUGAAAAACAGGAGCUGACAAUUAUAAAGUGGAAUUCUUGAGCAAGUGGUAAGCUCCAUUUCUUAGCCUUCUACACCCUCCUCCUCACAACACCAGAGUCAAGAAUUCCUGUCUCCUAAGGAAAUGUCUCUUAUGGCUUGGGUGGAUGCUGUUGUAGGGGUAUGAAACAAGCCAGUUCCCUUAGCCAGUGAGUAUGCACUGGCUGUUUAGAAUGUGCCCAACAGGCGCCAGCCUCUGGAGAGGUCAUUAAUAGCCUCGGGCAUGGUCCCUGCCUCAAGUUGGAGAGUUAGGGCUCAUGAAGUAAGGAGCAAUACAUUUCCAGCCCGUGCUGUUUGACAGCAGUACUUUUCAACACUCGGCCACAUGUGCUGAAGCCUGCUGGUGUCUGCCCAGGUCCCCUCGACUGGAGGGGACCCUGUGCCCCCUCUAGAGCAUUGAUGAGUAACUCACAGCUGUCUCUCCAGAGAGUCAUCCUUGGCCAAACCUUCAUGUGGGCAGCUACCACCCACCACACCAGCCCCUCUUCCAGAUCAGACCUCAGCAAACCUGACUGGCCUAGGGAUACAGAAGACCAGCCUCUUGCGUCCACGUGGGACCAAGUCUGCAGUGUGACUUGUGCUCCAGAACUCUCCCACAGGCUCAGCCUGAAGUCAGGCUCCAGCGAAGCCCAUCCCUGCCUGGCUUCUCUCCACAGUCCUAUUCUGCUGCCCUGACUCCUCUUCCCUAAGGGCUAUUGCCCAGCGAAGCCCAUGGUCUCAGACUGGGCUUCAAAGAAACCUGACUCCAUGUUAGCAUCUUCUGCGGAGUUUUAUAAAAACACAUACACCUGAACUUAACCACCUAGACUUACUGAGCCAGAAGCUAUAGAGCUUCAAGAGUGGGAACCAGACAACUGUAUGCUUUAAAGCCUAAUAGAUAUUUCUAAUUCACCAGUUUAUCUCUCAACUUUUCAUUUUGAAAAUGCCAAACUUACAGAAAUAAUGAAAGUAUAAUGUAGUGAUAAAUAUCUACAUACUCAGCAUCUAGAUAUACCAAUUAUUAAUAUUUUGCUCCAUUUUCCUCUCUCUCUCUCACAUAUCAAAAAUAAUUUGCAAGUAAAUUGUAGACAUUAUGACACUUUAUCCUUCAGUUCUUCAGCAGAUAUUAUCCAAGAAUAAAGACAUUCUCCUACAUAACCCCAGUGUCAUAAUCACCCACAGGAAAUUAAUACUAACUUGUUAACAUCCCCAGAGCAUACAGUCCAUAGUUAAGAUGUACCCUCUGUUUUAGGCCAAAGGUGGCAAUUUUCUCAACUUUAGACUCAACAGAAGUUUGGAGAAGGGAAAAAUCUGUAUGAGUUGAAUAGAAAGGAAAAUACUUCAUGGAGGAAAGAGGAUAAGAAUUGGGCUGUGAAGGAUUGACAUUAGAAAGAAGGGGUGGAGCAAAUGCUCAGAUAGAAGCAGGUAAAUACCUAUGCAAACAUGCAGACAUGGGCAUUGGAAUUGCCUUUUGUGGGAGGAGAAGACUGAGCAGAAUUUGUGGACUAGGAUAGGUAGGCUGUGCAGCUGGACAGGCCUCAUGCAAUCUGAGUACAGAGAAAUUGCCAAUCCAAGCAAUCAAAAAAACAGUGGCCACACACCAAGAAACGUUAAAGGUGACUGCACUUAGGAGAGUGGCAUCAGAUUUGUGGGACACAUUCAGGUGAAUUCUAGUCAGGACCAUGGCAAAGCAUUUGGGGUCAGAAUUAAACUGGGGAGUUAAUUACUGAUUGAAAUUCAUUUAUUCAUAUAUUCGUUCUACCAGCAUUUUCUGAGUACAUAUUAUGUGCCAAAAUACCAAUGUGAACACAGGAAAUAAAGCACUGAAAAAACAGACAAGGUCCUUGCUUUCAUGAAACUUAGGUAGGGGUGUGUGUGUGUGUGCGCGUGUGUGUGUGUGUUGGUUGAGUGGG